AGCAGCCGCGGUAAUUCCAGCUCCAAUAGCGUAUAUUAAAGUUGUUGCAGUUAAAAAGCUCGUAGUUGAACUUCGGGAUCAAGGGAUCGGUCAUGCCUUGGUAUGUACUGGUCUUAUUGGUUCUCACCUUCUAAAGAACCAUAAUGUCAUUCAUUUGAUGUUAUGGGGAAUUAGGACUGUUACCUUGAAAAAUUAGAGUGUUUAAAGCAGGCUUACGCUUGAAUACAUUAGCAUGGAAUAAUGAAAUAGGACAUCCGAUUCUAUUUUGUUGGUUUCUAGGAUCGAUGUAAUGAUUAAUAGGGAUAGUUGGGGGCAUUAGUAUUCAAUUGUCAGAGGUGAAAUUCUUGGAUUUAUUGAAGACUAACUACUGCGAAAGCAUUUGCCAAGGAUGUUUU
rnacentral:rRNA from 1 species